rnacentral:sRNA from 1 species
GUAAUACUGGUUGCUUAGUAACACCCUUCCCUUCCAUGGUGGGAUUUUCUCUUCACUUUCCCUUGGGAGUCUCAAAUGAAUAAGUUACAGUUUGACAGCAGCAGCAGAGCAUAAGAUUUUAUGAAUGUGAAACCAUUAUGAUCUUUUCUCUUUAUUUACUUAGAAAAUUUAAGUGUGUGAUAAUCUUUUUAAUAGUUCAUCUUUCUACAUCUGUUUCUGAUUUCAUGUUGCAACUAUGUCAUGCAAAAAGACAGUAGAUAUUGUAAGAUUGUCUUCAAUAGUUGAAAUUCAGGCUUGCCUUUUUACAGUAAAUUUCAUUUAUAGUUUAUAAAGAUAAAUGAGAACUAAUAUAAAAUAGUAAUUUUGUUAUGGCAUUAUGAUAUAUUUUAAAUUCAUCAAGCUCAUCUGUAUGUGUCUUUUUGUCCUUUUACUACUGAGAGGAUUGGAGCUGGGAUCAUGGCAGCCUGCUCUGAUGUAUUUCUCUCCACUCUAUUUUAUUAUUUUUUUAAAGAGUUCUAACUUAAAUAUGUGGACUAGCUAUUGGAUAACUUUAAUUAAUAUAUUUAUCAUUCUUUCUAUUCACUUUGCCACAUACACACCAUGUGAUGAUUUUAAACCCGAUUUCUGUAUAGAGAAUGUUAAAAGGAUGGCUUUUUUCAGAGAUUCCAAAUAGGUAGACAUUGACAAUAUAGUUGCACAGUAUAUGGAAUAUGUAUAUAUGUAUAUACAUAUAUACACACAUAUAUACAUACAUAUACAUAUAUAUUCCCAUAUAUACACUUAUACAUAUUUCAUAUAUGUACAUAUAUACAUAUCGCAUAUACUGUGCAAUAUAUAUAUGCACACACAACUUCCCAGUUCAUAUUUUUCAUUAUGUAAUGUACCUUAUUGAUAGCUAUUAUUAUAUGGCUUAUGCAUACUGUUUUGAAAUAAACAAUUUUACUUAGAAAACUAGUAGUCCAUACUUUUGGAGCAAAGUCACAAACAAAUUGAAUUUGAGUAGACUUUAAACUACAGAAUGUCAAGAGAAUAAAGGAAAAAAACAUCAGCAUUUGGUGCAUGAUCUGUUUCUAAUAGGCUCUAAGAGUUCCUGGAAUUUCAGCUAGCUUAGAUGUGUUUCUGUAACUUAAGGAAUUUAAAAAGUUUAAAAAAUCCUGAAAUUUGAAUUGACCAGUAGUGUGUUAUUGGUAAUAAUAUCAAGAAUAUUUGAUUCUUAGUCCCAGCAAGAAGAUUGUGUUUUGAAAUACCUGGAUGAAAAGUAGACCAAGAAUGUAACCACUUUGCUCUUUCUUUGUUCCCCUUUCCCAUUCCAGGGAGCUCUGGGCUCUGUUCUACUUAUUCCUAUUGGCAGGAAGAGACCAGCUGUGUAUUUUAUAGCUAAUAUAGAAUAUUGGAAAGUUGUAACUUUAUUGGUGGGUGGAACUGAUAACUAUUUGAUAUUCUUCUUUUACCUAAGUUUAAAUAAUUUCUUGAAGCAGCAUAAUGCAUUCUUGUUGGGCAAUUUUAUCCCAUAGGUGUAUUCUUCUAGAAGAGGGCCUGUUAGUAAUACAUAGAUAAUUAAUAGGUACUUGCUGAUAAUUUCCUUUCAGUUAAUUCUUCUCAUUUUCUAUGGAUAGUGCAUUUUUUCCUAGAAUAUUAGCAGGUCAAGAUAACAGAUUUUGGACUGCCUCUUAAGGCAGAAGUAGUCAGAGUUAUCUCUUCAAAUACCUAUUUUGUUAUUUGUUCCAUUUUAUUGUUUAUAUUUAAUAACUCUUUUGUAAGUUGAUGUGAAUGUAAAGCAUGAAAAAACUUUAUUAAUCAUAUUUGGGCUUUUAAACUCUAGAUAACCAAGUAUGCAUUUUAAAAUCUAAUUUUAAGUAGUUUUUCUUAAAUCUCAGUACUUUUUAUGAAGACAUUACAAUGCUUUAUUUUUCCUUCUCAAACCAUUAAUGGAAAGGAAUUUUAAUAAACUGGGUCUGUAAUAUCCUAAUGUAAAUCCAUAUGUUAUGGGUGAAUUAUUUUGUUUCUUUUAUUACUUGUGGUACCUUAUUUUCAGUUUUUUAGUUUGUGAUCUGUUUCAUCUAUUGAGUAUUAAAAAGUAUUUCUACCGCCUGUGUGAAAGGAAACAAAGUAAAAGAUAUAAUUAUAUAAUAUAUUGAAUAGCAAGAUUUGUCUUGUUUGAAUAGUCCUUAGAAAUAUAACUCUACUCAGUUUCCUGCAAAAGAAGAACUUGAUUUUCUAAUUAUUUUUAUUUCAAUAGUUCAUUGGGCCUUAAGAAUAUUAGCUGGAGAAUAAAAACCUAAUGAAUGUGGCUUUAAAUGUUAAAUAAAUAUUCAGUACUAUAUCUUUUUCAGUAAUGUAAAAAUAUGUUCAGAAUAUAAUUAGGAUUGAAGCUGUUUUUGUAAAAUUGUUUAUAUACGGUUGAUGUGGUAUGAGACUGUAACAAACUAUAUAGUUUUUUGGUUUUUGCUUUUUUUUUUUUUUUAAUCUCAAACUGGGAAAAACACCAGGUUUUUGUUGUUGUUGUUUUCUACUUAUUUUUUAAUAUAGAGAUGGGGUCUUGCUAUAUUGUCCAAGCUGGUCUCAAACUCCUGGGCUCAAGCAACCCACCCAGCUCGGCCUCCCAAAGUGUUACAAGCAUGAGCCACCGUGCCUGACCUUAAAUACCAGUUUUAAUACUAAUCAUAGAUGUAUCAAAAUCAUUGUCUUACACUCAGCCUUUUUUAUUUUAAAGUACAUUCUGAGUACUAGGUACCUUUUGCUUAAUUUAGAAUUUGCUUGAGUACUACUUUAAGAAGAUAAUUUUUUUUAUUUAUUUAUCUAUGUAGUUAUUUAUUUAGAGAUGGAAUCUCACUCUCUUCCCCAGGAUGGAGUGCAGUGGUGCCAUCUUGGCUCACUGCAACUUUCGCCUCCCAGGUUCAAGCGAUUGUCGUGCCUCAGCCUCCCAAGUAACUGGGAUUACAGGUGUGUACGUCCACACCCAGCUAAUUUUUGUAUUUUUAGUAGAGAUGGUGUUUCACCGUGUUGGCCAGGCUGGUCUCGAACUCUUGACCUCAGGUGAUUCUCCCGUCUCAGCCUCCCAAAGUGCUGGGAUUACAGGCAUGAGCCACCGUGCUGGGCCCAAGAAUAUAAUUUUAAUAUGUGAAUUCCUACCUAGAUCACUUAACUUCCUUAGGGUAGCUAUCUGAUAAAGUCAAGACAUGUUGCCUCAUGGAUACCUUUACAUCAUACUGCCUUUGAGGAGGCACCAUUUUUCUCCUGUUAAAUAUGUUGUGGACAGCUUCUGUAAUGUAUGUAGUGUAAUUGCUGUAGUCAGUUUACUAUUAAGUUGUCAGUUGUUAAACAUGCUUCCUUUGGAGCAAAGUUUUUGUGUGGCCAACUUUGAAAUGACACAAAAAUGAUUUUUGGUGACCUUUUAUGAGCAGGGUGGCCAUAAACAAAAACAAAUACUUAUUCUAGGCUUAUAAACUGGGGUUCACUGAAGGUACCUGACAACCUUGAAAUGACACAGAAAUGAAUUUUGGUGGCCUUUUAUGAGCAGGGUGGCCUUAAACAAAGCUUAUAAACUAGACUUCAUUGAAGGUACCUGACAGGCUUAGCAAAGAAUUUUAACCAAGUAAAUGCCUAUAUUUUAUUAAAGCAGAGUUUUAAUGUCUUGGGAUUCAAAUUAAUAAUACAGUUAUAUAUUACAAUAAAAUAUUCUUUUUUUUUUUUUUUUUUUUGUGACGGAGUCUCGCUCUGCCACCUAGGGUGGAGUGCAGUGGCGGGAUCUCGGCUCAUUGCAACUUCUGCCUCCUGGGUCUAAGCGAUUCUCCUGCCUCAGCCUCCUGAGUAGCUUGGAUUAUAGGCGCCUGCCACCACACCAGCUAAUUUUUGUAUUUUUAGUAGAGAGGGGGUUUCACCAUGUUGGCCAGACUGGUCUUGAACUCCUGACCUCAAGUGAUCUGCCCACCUCGGCCUCCCAAAGUGCUGGGAUUACAGGGGUGAGCCACUGCGCCUGGCCUAUUCUGUCUUUUAAAUUUGAGAAUUAGUGACAUACAUAGAAGAAAACUGGAACUUCUAAAAAUUUUUGUCAUUGAUAGACAAAAUGACAAAAUGAACUAUAAUAUUAAGUUCAGAUGUUCUAGGAAAGACCCACACUUUUUCCCUUAACAUAAAAUGGAUCCAUCUGUGUUUAAACUCUUAUAAGAAGAUAAGGUACAACUGGACACACAUAAAGCUUAGAUUAAAAGGAUCUAAAUGAACUUAAGAAUUGGUAGCUUUUUUAGCUACUAAAACAACAGAAAAUCUUUUUUUAUGUUCUUGGAUGUUUGGAAGGAUUUCUUCUUAUUCUGUUUUUAUAGUUGUAUAGACAAAACCUGUAUUAUAAGUAUUAGCAACCUGAGCAACCUUAAUGUGGACAUUAAGACAUAGAAUUUUAACUUUUUACAGAAUAAAUGUGUGUGCAAGUGUGUGUUUUCAGUGAUUUAAUUGAGUAAUAUUAAACAAAAGACACAGCUAUGUAAGCAACUCUCAAGUUCUGAUUCAGUCCCUUGGCUUAUUAUUAAGCGUAUUUGUAUUUUUGAAAAGAACAUUUGCGAUUACUUCCUAUAUAUUAAAAAGUACAGGAAAUUUCAACUGCUAAGAUUUUUGCAAAGUUAAUUAGGGUGUAAAUCAGUAUUUUUUCUAAUAAGCAAUUUCUGUACAAUUUUUCUCAAGGUUUGUUGGCAUCCAAAGCUGUUGGGGUGGAUGGUGCUGAAAAAAAGGAAGACUACAAUGAAACAGCUCCAAUGCUGGAGCAGGCGAUUUCACCUAAACCUCAAAGUCAGAAAAAAAAUGAAGCUGACAUUAGCAGUUCUGCCAACACUCAGAAACCUGCACUGUUAUCCUCAACUUUGUCUUCAGGGAAGGCUCGCAGCAAGAAAUGCAAACAUGAAUCUGGAGAUUCUUCUGGGUGUAUAAAACCCCCUAAAUCACCACUUUCCCCAGAAUUAAUACAAGUCGAGGAUUUGACGCUUGUAUCUCAGCUUUCUUCUUCAGUGAUAAAUAAAACUAGUGAGCACAGAUUUUUAAAAAAUAGUUAUUUAUCCUAUAAGAUACAUUAAAAACAGUUUGAUUGUAGUUAUAUUGUAUUUUUAUGAAGUUGCUUUUUAAAAACUCAAGUGAAUAUGAUAGGGAAGGCUUGAAACUAUUUCAGGGGCAAAAACCAUAGACAUUUCUUACUGAUUUAUUGUUUAGAGACUACUGCUGGUUGAGAAUCCUUUCCAUUUAAUAACACAGAUUCCACUGUAGUUUGACUCUCCUCAGCUCAUAAUCCAAGCAUACUGAGAGGCCUGAUUCAUUACAAAAAAAAAGAAAGUUAUAAAAAGACCCAUGAUAGCUAUUUUUACUUAAGACUAUUCCUGUAGAUUUUUUGUCCCCACUUGUCUAUAACUUCCCUCUGCAAUACAUUUUAUUCAUUCUUAUUAUAAUAUUUAUAGUCUAGACUUCAGUUUAAUCUUUUUAAUGAAAAAAAAUGCUCCCAUGAUUGUAUUUUUAAAGAUUUUACUGUUUCAGUACUUCUAAUUUUUCAAGAGUUAACGCAGUCUUUUUCGAAAACACCUUUCACAUGGGUAUAUCUAUCUCCCUAUAUAUCUGUAUAUAUAAAUAAUACAAGAUUUGUGUUGACCCUGAGUUUCUCAUAUUAGUUUAGUAUUCUAAGUUGGAGACAUGAAUAACAGUUAUUUGAAAAGUCAUUUGGUAAAUGAUGGUUUUUUUUGCUCUUUAUGCAACAAAUGAAAUACAUGAUCAGUUGAGUGAAUAUGACAUGUUUCCUUAUGAACUAUUCCAUAUUGUGUCUUCCAGAAUAAUCAAAGAUGUUGGCAUUCAAAAGACUUUUAUCAAACAUAUUAAUCUGUUUUCCUUCAGUUGCCAUAUUUUCUACUGAAUCAUUUUUUCAUUUUGAUCAGGUUUUGCUUUUUUGUUCUUUUUAAUAGGUGGAAAGAAUGGGAACAUAAUUCAAUUGUUUUCCUAAUAAGCUUCAUUUCGUUAUGGCAUUUAUCAUGAAAUAAUGUCAGUAGUAGUCACUGGAAUGUCAUAUGACAUUAAUAAACAUUUUAUUUUGGAAAUUAUAUCUCGGUAUUAUAACCACAAUAUUAUAGCAAUUAAAUUUUGUUCUUUCAUAUUUUUUAGUUAUCAACAUGUCUUUUUCGUUUUGAUUGUAAAAUUACUCUUAAAUACCCAAACAUCAAUCUCUUUAGACUGUUCUUAUUUCCUCUUUCUAAAUUAACAUGAAUAUACUGGCAUAUAUAAUCUUGCCUAUUCUAGUCAAAUGUGUUUAUAUGCCAUGUAGAAAGAAGAUAUCUAAGUGUGAGAGACAUUUCCAAAUAUUUAUAUUGUAUUGCUAGAAGAUGCCUAAAUUACUUACCAAGUUGUUAAAAAACACAAGUAUACAAUGUCAUAAUCUUAAAUAUCCUCAUUAUUUGCUCACAAUAAGUAUACAAAGUUGUUUUUGUUCAUUUUUUUUUUUUUUUUUUUAAUGAAUCAGGCCCAGACAUGUUUAUAAAACUCCAUUUUGGGGGGAUGAUGAUGGGAUAAAAUUAUUUACAUUAGUGUAAAGUAAAUCACUAACUCUAUAAUGUUAUAUCAUCUAUGUCCCUGCCUUUUUUCCCUUAGAGUUUCUAGAUUUGCAAUGUAGCAAAAGGAAUAUAUAUAUAUAUUUUUUUCCUUAUCUUUUGCUGUAAAGAGACUAUUUUCCCGAAGGAAAAAUGGCAAUUUACACAACGAUCUGCAGUUAGGGAAAUUAACUGUGGUCUGUCACUUGGGGGAGCUACUUGAAAUUAAUGUUCCAUUUUAUUUUCUUUUAGUUCUAGUAGAGUGUAGAUUUUACAAUUUUUGAUUGACUCAUUUUGAAUGAGGGCACAAUUUUUGCCUUUGAUUACCUUUGGAACAUGCCAUUCCUUGUGGAUAUCUUAUAACAACAUCAGAGGGAAGAAUAUAAAUCAUUUUUUCCCAUUUAUCUCCUUAAAUAUUAUAAGAUGCUCCUGGUAUGUAUCUGCUUCGUGAACAUUGAAGAUCUUUUUCUAGGUCCUCCACAGCCUGUGAAUCCCCCUAGACCUUUCAAGCAUAGUGAGCGGAGAAGAAGAUCUCAGCGUUUAGCCACCUUACCCAUGCCUGAUGAUUCUGUAGAAAAGGUUUCUUCUCCCUCUCCAGCCACUGAUGGGAAAGUAUUCUCCAUCAGUUCUCAAAAUCAGCAAGAAUCUUCAGUACCAGAGGGUAAUGUAUAUUGAUUUCCUAUAGAACCAAACAUAAAAGAAGAUAAAGAAAAAACUAAAAGAUAAAGAUUUUUAAAAUAUUAAGAUAUUUCUGCUCUUAUAUCUUCUGGAGUUAUAAGCACUUCACUUAUUCUACAAAUAUUUAUUGAGUGCCUUCUUUGUGCCAGGCACUGUUUAAAUUAUGUAACACUUUAAUUCACAGUGAUAGUAACUGAGCCAUUUUAUCUGUGUUAAUAUUAUAUUACACUCUUUAUUUUGUGUAGUGCCUGAUGUUGCACAUUUGCCACUUGAGAAGCUGGGACCCUGUCUCCCUCUUGACUUAAGUCGUGGUUCAGAAGUUACAGCACCAGUAGCCUCAGAUUCCUCUUACCAUAAUGAAUGUCCCAGGGCAGAAAAAGAGGAUACACAGAUGCUUCCAAAUCCUUCUUCCAAAGCAAUAGCUGAUGGAAGAGGAGCUCCAGCAGCAGCAGGAAUAUCGAAAACAGAAAAAAAAAUGAAAUUGGAAGAAAAAAGCUCAACAGCAUUUGGUAAGAGAAAAGAAAAAGAUAAGGAAAGAAGAGAGAAGAGAGACAAAGAUCACUACAAACCAAAACAGAAAAAGAAGAAAAAAAAGAAAAAGAAAUCUAAGCAGCAUG